UGUGCGCGAUGCCAUCCACAGAUCCCUUCAGCAUCAACCCUCUAACCAGGAAGCAGAAGAGCACCACGUAGGGGAAAAGAGAGCUGAAGUACAUCACCUAAGAGGCAAUCCCUCUAAUGACGGCGAGGCAGACGAUGAUCCAGGCGGCCAGCAGAGAUAAAGUCAUUUUCACAUUGAGGCCACCGCUCUCUGCGAUAGUGCUGGUCGUGUUCAGGGUCUGGCGGUACCAGAAGACAGUCACUCCAUGGCAGAGGAUACUGGAAGGACUGGAAGAAGUAGAAGAUGCUCCAGCCUAUAAUCACGUUAUAGUAGAGCCCCACAAAGCCACACACCUAGAUGGGCAGAAAGAAAAGAUACUCUCAGAGAUAUUUUUAGCUUCAUCUGCGCUAGCCGUGUGACUCGACAGGAAGGCUCCCUUUCAUUGCCAAGCACGUCAAUACCUCCCAUGUACUCAGGAGGUGGAGGCGGGUUGUUGCGGUGAGGGAGUAACUUCAUCCUGCGUGCAUAGUUAUGC